CUCCCUUCUGGGUUACCAGGCAUCCUGGGGUACGGGGAGGGGAGGCUGGUGGAGGCAGGAGGAAUGGGGCCUGAGUGGCUGUGUGGGAAGCUCUGCGUGUCCUGUCUCUCCAGGCCCCAGGGACAAUGGAGGGAGCGUCUCCAGCCUUCAGCAAACAUCAGGAAGAGAACGCUCAGCUAUAGGACCUACCAUGAGAGGUGGCUGCAUCAUAAGUCUGGUUUCAGGACUGUCGACCACCCCCCCCCCCCGCCCCCAGACUGUCAGAGACUUCAGGUCAGAAAUGCGCAACACCUUAGUGACACCUGGCAAGCUGAGUGAGCGCGUGGAAAGAUGGAGUGAGAUGUGUCUCCGAGGGUUUCAUGAGAGCCGGAGGCUGCCCUGUCCCACCACAGACUUCUACACACCUCUACCCCCACACCCCGGUUCCUCCUCCCUCCCUUUGACCUCAGUCCCUACUCAGCAGUCCCCUGGUGCUCAUACAUGGCCGGCUGAGAACUCCUCCAAGCUUGCCACCGAGCUCAGGACUCCUGAGGCCCAGGAGACGACGAACCUCUGGGUAACUUUGGAGUCAUCUGUGCAGCUGUCCAGUGAAGCAGGGAACCAAGUGGCCACGAAUGGUGACAAGAAGAGCCCCCAUAAGGAUGAAGAAAGAUGAGGUAUAAGGGCCUUGAACGAACUGACCUUGGUGUUCUCGGAAGGAACAUGUGAGAACAGCCACCCUGCCGGCCUGCCUGUUUGGUCCCGGUCUGCUCAACAGGAAGCACGAUCUGGGCUGUGGAGUUAAACCAAAUUGCACUGAGACCUCCAUAGGCAGGUUACGCUGUUCCCAUCCCCGAACUCGCCUCUAAACCUCCAGGAAGAACAACGAGCUUCUUACUGUAGGCGGAGGCCAUCUGUCAUCAUUCUCCUCUGGUAAGAGGCUCGGGUAUUGGAAGACAAAUGGCCUGAACUCUGUAAUACCCGUUCCCUGGGGUGGCUGGUUGACAGCUGGUUGAGGGGAGAGGGGGAAUGGGCUUGGACACGUUGGCAGGUAUCCCCGUGGGCCCAGAGCUGAGAAAAAGAGAACUCAGGAGGGGGACUCGGUGGGUGGUCCACCAAGGAGCAGUCACCCUACUCGGCCACACAAUCUCCCUAGAGCAAUGGAUGGGCCCGGGCCCUUGCUCGCCUAGAACAAGGAGGACAGAAUCUGAUCAUUGCCUGACUGCAACCAGACUCAGUGGCAGCUGGGGAGCCAGCUGUAGGUCAGGAGUAAAAGUACAAAGUGGGGGGA